UUGACUUAUUAAGUACAAUACUCAGAGAUGCCAUAAAAGUUCAAGAGUUAGGUACCUCCGGCGGGCGCCCGUUAGGGCCGGGGACCCCGGAGACCGGGGCCAACCCGCCGAAGCAACGUUGAAGGUAAGUUCACAAUGGUUUGGGAGUUUUGUAACUCUUUAAUGAUCCCUCCGCUGGUUCACCAACGGAGA
rnacentral:misc_RNA from 1 species